GAUGAACGCUGGCGGCGUGCCUAAUACAUGCAAGUCGAGCGAACGGACGAGAAGCUUGCUUCUCUGAUGUUAGCGGCGGACGGGUGAGUAACACGUGGAUAACCUACCUAUAAGACUGGGAUAACUUCGGGAAACCGUAGCUAAUACCGGAUAAUAUUUUGAACCGCAUGGUUCAAAAGUGAAAGACGGUCUUGCGGUCACUUAUAGAUGGAUCCGCGCUGCAUUAGCUAGUUGGUAAGGUAACGGCUUACCAAGGCAACGAUGCAUAGCCGACCUGAGAGGGUGAUCGGCCACACUGGAACUGAGACACGGUCCAGACUCCUACGGGAGGCAGCAGUAGGGAAUCUUCCGCAAUGGGCGAAAGCCUGACGGAGCAACGCCGCGUGAGUGAUGAAGGUCUUCGGAUCGUAAAACUCUGUUAUUAGGGAAGAACAUAUGUGUAAGUAACUGUGCACAUCUUGACGGUACCUAAUCAGAAAGCCACGGCUAACUACGUG
rnacentral:rRNA from 1 species